GUGGUGUCACAAAAUCGGAGGNCCCGACUGUUUACUAAAAACACAAUUCAGAGCAAUGAUGUAAAUCAUAGUAUUCUGGAUGAAAUUUGCCCAAUGCCAUUAACAUAAAAGAGGUAAUGGGAAACUGUUACUAAUUGAAAGUCUGGUUAAUAGCGGUCUUAACUAUGAGGAUCCUAAGGUAGCAAAAUCAGUUGGCCAUUAAAUGUGGUCUGGUAUCAAUAGUGUAACGAUGGUCUCACUGUCUCUACAACUUGCUCAGUGAAAUUGAAUUAUCCGUGCAGAUGCGGAUUGCCUCCAGGUGGACGGGAAG
rnacentral:rRNA from 1 species